ACGGGUGCGUAACGCGUAUGCAACCUGCCUGACACAGGGGGAUAAUCCGAAGAAAUUCGGUCUAAUACCCCAUAAUACCGAUAUAGGCAUCUAUGUUGGUUGAAAGCUUUGGUGGUGUCAGAUGGGCAUGCGUUGUAUUAGCUAGUUGGUGAGGUAACGGCUCACCAAGGCGACGAUACAUAGGGGGACUGAGAGGUUAACCCCCCACACUGGUACUGAGACACGGACCAGACUCCUACGGGAGGCAGCAUG
rnacentral:rRNA from 1 species